rnacentral:rRNA from 1 species
UACGUAGGGUGCGAGCGUUGUCCGGAAUUAUUGGGCGUAAAGAGCUUGUAGGCGGUUUGUCGCGUCUGCCGUGAAAAUUCGAGGCUCAACCUCGAACUUGCGGUGGGUACGGGCAGACUAGAGUGUGGUAGGGGAGACUGGAAUUCCUGGUGUAGCGGUGAAAUGCGUAGAUAUCGAGAGGAACACCUGCGGCGAAGGCGGGUUGCUGGGCUGACACUGACGCUGAGGCGCGAAAGCUAGGGGAGCGAACGGG